UUUCCGUAGGUGAACCUGCGGAAGGAUCAUUAUUGUAUAACCGAGGUGCGAGGCCUGUCGCUGACCCGCAAGGUCGUGCACGCCCGAGUGCCCUCACACAUCCAUCUCACCCCUAUGUGCACCACCGCGUGGGUCCCCCUUUGGCUUGUUCGGAGGGGGGCUUACGGUUUCACACAAACUGUGUAUGCAGUGUAGAAUGUAUUUUGUGUUUUUGCGAUCACGCAAUCAGUACAACUUUCAACAACGGAUCUCUUGGCUCUC
rnacentral:misc_RNA from 1 species